AUCCCAGCUACUCGGGAGGCUGAGGCAGGAGAAUCACUUGAACCCGGGAGGCAGAGGUUGCAGUGAGCCGAGAUCGCACCCCUGCACUCCAGCCUGGGUGACAGAGCAAGACUCCAUCUCAAAAAAAAUAAAGGAAAUAUGCGUCGUUGGAUGCUGUAUGACAAUCAAGCUACUUAUAACAAACAAAAUUGAGAAUGAAGGAUUAUGAUCCAAACUCAGCUGGGCCUCCCCUCCCUGCCCCAGGAUUGUGGAGUGAGAACGUUGCAGCAGGAGAGAACAACGCAGCAAAGCACAGCAGGGGAACCGGAAAUGCUCACCUUUUGACAGGGUACUUUUAGUUCUGGGGCCUUAUCUUAAGGAUAUUCCAACAUAUACAAAAAGAUUCAUGCACAGAGAUAUGUACUUUAGUAUUAUUUACCAUAGGAAAAAAGUUGGAAACAAUACAUUUUAUGUUCUGUAAAAUGAAAGAACAGUUAAAUAAAUCAUGGCUCUAAGACGACUCCAGGGCUGUGUACGGAAGUUCAGGGACAGAAUCAGUUGAGGCUGUUCCACCUGAGCCUAAGCUUCCUCUGCUGUAUGUCGGGAAUCAGGUGGGGGCCAAGCGAGAUCACCACAGUGCAGGCCAGUGUGCAGGGCACAGGUGGGCACCAGGGAGGGGACGCCGCACAGCCCCAUGCUCUCGCCAAAAACGUGCAGCACAAUUUGGAAGAAAACAUUUCCAUCUGUUAAUAAAGAGCAAGGGCCUCUGGUCAUAAGUG
ensembl:lncRNA novel transcript